UUAUAUUUUCUAAACAUGAAUUAUUUGCUUUGUAGCAUGCAAUUAUUUGUUUUGUACAAGUCUUCCGCUGUGCAAGGGGCACCAAACCCCAACAGUUUCUCUUGUUUCAUUAUGUAGUAAAGCUCUAAACUUUCUUGUGCUUGGCUUUCUACUGAUUUAGUAUUGUAGGUUUGCUAAGUGAUUCUUGUGCUUAUGCAUGAUGGUGUAGUGAUGUUCUACAUGGAUGAAAAGGGAGUUAUAAGGAGAGUUGUGUGGGUUACCUACUGGAAGGUAGGAACUCCCUUGAUUUUCAGUUCUAAAAUCCUCCAAGAACACUCACCUACCCUGAUAUUCCUAGAUGCAAUGUAAGGAAGAGGGGUGAGCUUGAGUUUUAGCAAGAAAAACUUGUGAAAAGAGGGCAAUGGUGUUACCUACGGAGAGUAGGAAAUUCCUGCAAGAACUCUGCAGAACUCUACUCCAAGCUCUCUCUCGAAGUAUGUGGGAGGGGAUUUGAAGGUGGUAUGGGGAUUUCUUAUAGGCAGACUGUAGUGUACUUAGGAUAAUUAAAUGGAGCUCCCAAACUCUUUGUUUUCAUGUUGCAGGGGUGAUAUUGUAGGGCAUAGUAGUCUGUAGGUGUUGUUUUGAGGAGUGGGUAUUGCAGGCAUUGACCUGCCUUCUUGGGUGAAGGAAAGGCUUAGCUGCCACGUUGCUGUCCGAGACAUGGGCUUGUUGCCCCGGGCUCGACGGGCUAUUCGAAACGAGCCGUGAUUUGGGCUUGGGAGAAAGAGGCCCAAAGUGCAAGCAAAAAUAAGACUUUAGUUUCUUAAGCUCUUUUGGCCCAUUCAUGGGUAUUUUGUAAUAGGAUAGUAUCCCAUAUUCUUUUCUUUUCAUCCAUAAUUCAUACGUAAUAUGAUCAUGUAAGUUAAUGCAUUAUUUGAGAUGUAAGCGAACACUUUAGUUCGGGAAGGACAUCUUCACGUUCUUUUUCAAAUGGUCAUUUUAUUUCA